rnacentral:lncRNA from 1 species
CCUUUUUGCUGCUGAUUUCCUGGGACUUCCCAUAUCUGCUUUGGCCUGUUUUGAUUUCUUUAGGCAUCUCUGUAUGCAUUCAUGCAAAUUACACAGAAAGCCUAAGGGUUUUAUUAAUCAGGGGCAGCUGACUCUGUAAUAAACAAGCCCAAAUUGAAAUGGCUUAACAGAAAUGAGCAAUUCAAAUGCCUGCUUUGCCGGUUGGUGACUCUUCCGAGCAUCUCUGUAGGUCACAGAGUUCCCAGCUUGCUCUUCCAUCCAGUUAGGGGAGGUUCUCAGGCACAAGCCCUAGGUCAUGUACUCUUGCCCAUUUCCCUGGCCUGGAACUUAGUCACCCAGUCCCAUAUCCCUCCAAGAGAAGCUGGAGAUGCCUGGCCCAGGAGUCAGAGGAAGUGAGGUUUGGAGGCAGGCCUCCACAUCCCUGCAUUAGAUGGCUGUUAACACUUGUUUUGCUGCCAGUGGUGAUGGAAAGGUCUGCCUGUGUUUCCUCCCCUGAUGUCACUUCAGUAAAGAAACUACUGCAGAGAUGAGGUGGAGGAAGGCUGGGACCAGACAUGGAAAAGAAAAGACCAUUGCAUCACAGAAAGCAGGAGAUGCUGAACCCCUGAACUCGGGCAGUGGCCAGAAGGCUGAGAGAAGGAGAUGGAUCACCAAGAUAAUAGAAAUAAUGUUCACUUGAACCUGGAGACCUACUGGAUACAGGGAAGAGCCAGGAAUGACUCAGAGAGUUCUGGUUCAGGCAACUCAGAGGAUUAUGUUGCUAUUCAUCAGGAAGAGACUGCAGGGAGGAGAAGCAGGUUUGGAGGGAGAAUAUGAGCUUCGGCUUGAACUUACUGCUUCUGACUUGCAAAAAUGAUAAAGGGCUGACUAAGGUUAAUAGUUUGAUCCAACAUGUGGGUCUAGGGCUCAAAAAACACAAUACAUGGGCGGGGGUUAGCCACAUGUGUGGUUGUGACUGCAAGCAUGGGUGAGAUUGUUCUGGGAGCACACAGAGAAACUAGGGCUGGAUUCAUGGGCCCCAUGCUAUUUGCAUAGCGAUGUAGCCAUCUGUCAUCCCUUAAUAACUGUGUGUGUGUGUGUGUGUGUGUGUGUGUGUGUGUGUGUGUGUAUGUAUGCAUGUGCGUGCACGUGUAUGUGCACUCUCCAGACGUCAGGGUUGGGUGUCUUCCACAAUCACUUCUUCACAUUAUUUUUGGUACAGGGUCUGUCACUGACCCUGGAGCUCACAAUUUCUGCUACCCUCACUAGCCAGAAAGCCCCUGGGAUCCUCUUUCACUGGCCUUAGAGCUAGGGUUACAAGCAUGUGCCACCACACGUUGUUUUUCUAUGGGUUCUGAGGAUCUGGAGUUGGGUCCCCAUGCUUGUGUGGCAAGUACUUGAUCCACCGAGCCAUCUCCCCAGCCAAAUUCUUUAGUAACAUUUGAGGUAGGACCCCACAAUUUCUCUGUGGCUGGGUCCUGAAAAUGAUGCAGUCAUUUCUAAGAUGAUAGGGACAAAACCAGUCCUGAAACUAUGCUAGGAAAGAUUCACCACACAGAGAAGUCCAGAGGCUGUUACAGAACCCUGUGCCAAGUGGGAGGGGAUGUUGGUGAUCAGGGGACAAAAAUGAGAGAGAGAAGGGCCCUGUGGGCAUCAUGACAUGAAGAAGGGUCAGUGACCUAGGAGGAGAUCUGGGCAUCUUCUCCACAACACUAUUUUAGGUAGAAAAGUAAUAAACAGCAUGCAAUAUGAGUGUGUAAAACCAACUGCAAAACUGAACUCUGGGGCUGAGAUGGCUCCAUGAGUAAAGAGUUUUCAAUGCAAACAUGAGACCUGAGUUCGAUCACAGAAUAAGUCACAUCAGUCACAGAAUAAGGCCAGUAUUGUAAUCCCAGCAUGGGGAAGAAAGAGACAGAGGAUCCCUGAGCCAUACUGGACAGCCAGACUCACUUAGUUGUUGAGCUGCAGGUCCCUGAGAGACCCUGUCUUAAAAAACAAGAUGAACAGCACCUGAGGGAUGGAUGGCACAUGAGAUUGACUUCUGGCCUCCACACACGCAUGUACACCUGUGCACAUACAGCCCCUCACACAUAAGUGCAUCCCAAACACAAACAUAGACACACAGACACACAGACACACAGACACACAGACAGACAGACAGACAGACAGACAGACAGACACACACACACACACACACACACACACACACACACACACACACACCUGACUUCUAGAGGAGUCAUAGAGUGUGGAGAAUCCCCGAUUCUUACCACUGUUGUUGUUUGGACCUCAUCAACUGCUGUCUGGAUUCUGCAGCUCCCCCACUUUGUCCUUGUGCCCUAUGGGUCACAGGGAUUGUGCUAGCAAUUAAGUCUGAUCAUGUCAGGCCUCUGCCCAAACCCAUAGGUAGUUUGUCGUGUCAGAGCACAGGUCUUUACUGCCUGAGAGGACCAGUCAUCAGACUCCCCUUUGCUCACUCUGCUUGAGUGCACGGCCUUCAUACUGGCACCAUGCCCAGUUCUCCCCCUGCCUGCAUACUCUUUUGUUAUAGAUGUCCCCCCCUCUGACUCUGCUCAGAUGUUCCCUCUCAGUGUGUCCACCCACUGGGCAAACCAUCUAUGCCACUCUGCUUGCUUUUCCUUGCAGCCCAGUCACCACCUGACUUCCGGUGUUAUGAUUUGCUUUUUGCCUUUCUACUCCUAGGAGAGGAGACACUUGACUUUGUUUAUCUGCUUGGCUAGUCCUGUUGGAGAACAACAGCCUUGGGGGACAUUAGGAGCUAUUGGGGAUCCUGUCUCCCAAGCCAAAAAUUAUGAUAUGCUGUCUCGUAGAGAGAAAGGGUAUUCCCUUGUUUGUUUGUCUGUCUGUUUGGGAAGGCAUCCCUUUGUUUCACAGAAGGAUUUAAGACAGCUUACAAAGCGCUCAGCAAGAUGACAUAAAUUAGAAGCAGGUGGGAGGGGGGUGUCCUUGCAGGCUAACGCUAUAAAGUGGAGCCAAGGAUGGGACUAAUACAAAAUAAACAUCCCAUAAACUUUGAUCCAUUCAUGAGGGGUGGGCCACAAAUUUGGCUCUAAUAUUUCUUACUGCCAGUGCCAGGAUGUAACAUGAUCCUCCCCGUGACUCCCAGGAUCCUCAAGAUUAAAGCAGACCACCAGCUCAGGACAGACAGCCACAUUCCUGACGCCUGGAAAACGGAGCAGCAUCUCCCUGAUCCCACCCAGAGGGGACAGGGGAACUAUGGGGAGGGCUCACAGACAUCUCUGAGCUUGGCUUCUUAUGUUUCCCAGCCAAGCAUAGGGGAGUCCAUUGUCUGGGGGACCAAUGACAGGGUUUCAGUCCAGCCACACACAUGUUUUAGCAGGUGGUGGACAGUGUGGUCUAAAGAACCCUGGAGCUAUGCUUCUGGAAUGUCCUAGACCAAGCUUUGGGGGGUAGCAGGGGACCAAAGGGUCUCAUGAUCAAAACUUCAACUGAAGCUAUUCUAGGUGAUCCCAAGAACCCACAGACAUUGGGCUGAGGAAAGGUGGCCCUAGAAAGUUAUGUUUUCUAUCUGAGAAUGAACAGAUAUCUUCCUGGAAAUGAACAACUAGUGAAAUAAAACAUGGGUAGAUGUGUGUGUGUGCACAUUUGUGUGCACACAUGUAGACGCCAGAGGUCAAUGUCAGCCAUCUUCCUUGAUUGAUCCCUGUCUUAUUUUUAGUGUUUUGCUAUGUUCAUUUGAGACAGAGUCUCACUAUGUAGCCUUGGCAGGCCUGAAGCUUGUGUAGACCAGGUUGGUCUCAGACUCACAGAGACCCACCUUCCUUUGCCUCCCAAGAACUGAGAUUAGAGGUGUGUGCCACCACAUCUAACUUCCAUUUAAUUUUUGAGACACUGAACCUGGAGUUUACCAGUUGAUGGCUAGCCAGGAACUCCAGAGACCUUCCUGCCUUCACUUUUCCAGGACUGGGACUAAGACAAUUACCACCAAACCCAGGUUGUUUUGUUUUGUUUUGUUAGUGCUGGGGAUCCACACGACAGUCCUCAUAUUUGCUUACUAGGUGCUUUACUGACUGUACCCUCUUCCCGGGCUCAGCACAAUUGUUGCCUGGGAACAUUUUAGAGCAAACCCAGCCUAAAACCUAUCGUGUGUGUGUGUGUGUGUGUGUGUGUGUGUGUGUGUGUGUGUGUGUGUGUGUGUGUAAAGUCAUCUUCCUGUUCUUCCUUACAAGAUAAACCAUUUGUGAAACACACACCAAGUUAGCAAUGAGGAGGUCUGCAUGGAAUGAAGGACUGUCUAAGAGCUGAGUGACAGCUACCAACAAUGACAGCUAGCUGAGCGCCUGUUUGCUCUGAAGUCUCCUUUCUGGCAGUAAGUGAACAGUGAGAUCAGCUGUAUCCAGAGGUUCUGUACUGAAGCUGAAUUUCCCCAGAAAAUUCAGAUCGCAUGGCUGGAGCAGAGCUGGUUCCCAUCCCCACCCCUGAUAGGGAUCCCAGCUGUCUGCAUGUUUUCCUGGGUUGCUGAAAGUCUGGAGAUAAUGAAGUGCCCCUCCUCUGAGGUCCUGGCAAGGAAGGCAAAGCUUCUCUUCUUUCUCCUCCUUCUUAGCAGUUUGAGACUUUGUUUUACUUUAUAACCUAAGCUGUCCUAACGGCGGUCCUCCAUUCUACGUCAACACUCCCCCGCCCCCGUGUGUAACAUAUGUGCACAUGUGUGUGCAGGUGUCCAUGUCUGUGCAUAUGUGUAGAUGCCAUAGGAGUGCAUGGGGAGUCUUGUUCCAUCACAUUCUACUGGGGCAGGGUCUCUCCCUGAGCCUGAAGCUAGACUGAUGGCUAGGAAGUCCUGGCAAUUCUCCUGCCCUCUGCCUCUAACAGCACUGGCUUUCAGGAGCAUGCAUGGCCAUUGUCUACCUUUUUACAUGGCCCCUGGGGAUCACUUGGGUCCUCAUGUUUGCCCAGCAAGUGCUCUUACCUACUCAGACAUCUACCCAGGCCCCUAAACUCUUCUUGAGCCAUGAAAGCACAUGGCAGAGCCCACCAACACUGAGUACCUUCAAAGACCAAAGCAAUGAAAAGACCUUUGUGCCAUUCACCCUUCUUGCUGUCCACAGCUUCCUGGGCAUUGCAGACCCUUCUCAGCAGACCCGUCCACUUCCCAGCCCUCGUCCAUAGAAGCACAGUUCACCCUUGCACAAGCCCCUAGCCUCCUGGACCAGUCCCUCUGGCUGACCCCUGUCUCCUUCGUCUUACCCUCCAGCUUGCUCUUUAGGGUUAGUCAUAAUAACCCUCACAUCAGCAGAGCAGAAGAUCACCUUCCAUCUGCCUCACAACCACAAGAAGGUGGGUGGUGGGAGGCUAAUUAUCAUCUCAAUUUUACAAAUAAAUAAACAGGCUCAGAAUCGCCCAUGUUUUCCCACAAGCAUGCCUUAGUGAGUAUCCAGAAAGGAAGCACAGCUCUAUACUCCAAGCUCUGAACUGUGUUACACACUCCUAACCCUCCCAAAGCAGCCCCCUGAAAGCAGGAGGGAGUCAGCUGUAUUAGGGAACUUACAGAGCACAUAGUCUUAGGUAUGUGUGUAGAGACACAAAGCAAAAAGGAAGGGGCCCUCUGGUACCCUAUUAUGUUAUCAAGGAACCCAAGUGUCUCCAUUCACCUCUUCACUUUACAGGUGUAGAAACUGAGGCUCAGAGAGAAGGAAGGCUCAUGUGUUGAAUGCUCAGCCUAUUAGAAUUGGCCACCAGUACCUAGGUGAGGGUCAGGGUGACAAUCUCCCUCAGCCACACAAACCCCUGUCUGCCUCUCACCCUCCAUCUUCUGUCUGUCUACCCUUGGGGGAACACAGGACUGAGCACUGCUGUCUCUUGGACCCCAAUUUGGCAGCUGACCAUCUCUCUAAGUCCAAGAGUUUAUUAUCAGUCUUUACCACAAAGGUUUUGGGUGCUUGUGCAUCUGUUGUUGCAUCCUACUUGAGCAUCAUUGGAGUGUUUGGGGAGAAGUUUUCUAGCAGGCCUUGACCCAUCCAGAAAGCUAUGUCCACUGUGGGGCUCCAUCAGCACUCUGAGUGGAGACUGUGGGAGUCGAGGAGGAGGGAACACAAAAGAGUCAAAGAGAGCUGUAAAGUCAGG